rnacentral:rRNA from 1 species
GCAAAGGUAGCAUAAUCAUUUGCCCUUUAAUUGGGGGCUAGUAUGAAUGGAUUAACCUUGUUAACCUGCCUCAUCAUAAAACUUGAAAAUUUAUAUUAAGGUGCAGACGCCUUAAUUCAACCGAAGGACCAAAAGACCCUAUAGAGCUCUGUGUCCCAAAUCAACCCUCUCUGAGUUAGGGGCACUUCGUUGGGGCGACGAGAACUUAUAACCACUUAUAAAGUUUAAUGCUAACAAGCUUUACAUAAACCCUCAACAGAGAAUCAGAAAAAGCUACCUUAGGGAUAACAGUCUAAUUUUCUUUAAUAGUUCACAUAUACAAGAAAGCUUGGCAC